GACGAACGCUGGCGGCGUGCCUAACACAUGCAAGUCGAACGCAGUUGCGAACGGGUGAGUAACGCGUAGGUAUCUGCCUGGUAGCGGGGGAUAACAAUUGGAAACGAUAGUUAAUACCGCAUACUACCAGAUGGACCUGCGGUGUAUUAGCUAGUUGGUGGGGUAACGGCUCACCAAGGUAACGAUACAUAGACGACCUGAGAGGGUGAUCGGCCACACUGGGACUGAGGCACGGCCCAGACUCCUACGGGAGGCAGCAGUAGGGAAGCUUCGGAAAUGGACGGAAGUCUGACCGAGCAACGCCGCGUGAGUGAAGAAGGUUUUCGGGUCGUAAAGCUCUGUUGUGAGAGAAGCGGUAUCUUACCAGGAAGGGACGGCUAACUACGUGCCAGCCGCCGCGGUAAUAC
rnacentral:rRNA from 1 species